AUACGUAGGUGGCAAGCGUUGUCCGGAUUUAUUGGGCGUAAAGCGAGCGCAGCGGUCUCUUAAGUCUGAUGUGAAAGCCCCCGGCUCAACCGGGGAGGGUCAUUGGAAACUGGGAGACUUGAGUGCAGAAGAGGAGAGUGGAAUUCCAUGUGUAGCGGUGAAAUGCGUAGAUAUAUGGAGGAACACCAGUGGCGAAGGCGGCUCUCUGGUCUGUAACUGACGCUGAGGCUCGAAAGCGUGGGGAGCAAACAGGAUUAGAUACCCUGGUAGUCCACGCCGUAAACGAUGAGUGCUAAGUGUUGGAGGGUUUCCGCCCUUCAGUGCUGCAGCUAACGCAUUAAGCACUCCGCCUGGGGAGUACGGCCGCAAGGCUGAAACUUAAAUGAAUUGGCGGGG
rnacentral:rRNA from 1 species